GAGAGAUGGGAGAGAGGAAGGAGAGAAAGGAGAGAGGAUGAGAGGGCAGGGGGGAACAGGAGAAGACAGAGGACAGAGGGCGGAGGGGGUUGAGGAACAGAGGGAGAGAGGAGGAGGAGGCAGGAGGAGGUGGGGUUAAGGCACGGUGUAACACAUACACAGGGUAUUCACACACAGCACGAACGGCAAGCCACCUGCGCCUGAAUCUCGACCCUCCGAGACGCCCCACUCUCCGCGCCAAACCCCGCUGGAGCGCGCAGUCGCUGCUCUACGAUCCCUCAUCGGUCAUCGAUAGCCACCGGGCGGGGGGGAUACUCUGAAAGCCCCCCCCCCCGGCGCGCGGCAGGUUUUCAAAGCCCACCUUGUUCAUCUCGUCCUCCAGCCUGCAGGCGUUCAGACCGCGGCUCGCGUUCAGGCCCCAGUCCUCGAACCAGGCGCCGUACUCCUCCAUCGACACCGAGCCCGGGUCCGACAGGUUGAACGGGGGGGCCAUCUGGGCUGGGAGAGGGCCGAGCUGGGCCAGGAGAUUUACGUUCCUGGGGGGGGGGCACAGAGAGUGCGGUUUUAAAAUCUGCACGUAGCAGGGAGAUGGGUCUACAGUUUCCAAGCGAG
rnacentral:lncRNA from 1 species